rnacentral:rRNA from 1 species
GGAGUCCUUCCUUGCUGAAAGACCCGAGUUCGGAGUCCUCGGUCCUCUGGAUCGUGUUCUCUCAGAUGCGUCGCGCCGAUCGCCUGAUGGGUACUCUAAUGCCUGAGCGUGGAGUCCCUUUGAGCUUGAGACGCGCUUGACCGGCCGUUGGGCUCGUGUCACCAAGUCCGCGUCCUUCUGGACGUCGGUACUACAACGCAUGACCUCAUUGGGGUAGGACAACCCGC